rnacentral:lncRNA from 1 species
AGACAACUCUACAGAUUCACAUUUAUAGCCUGCUGGACAAACUAACACCAAACUAAACUAGCAUCAACAAACAAAGUAACUCUAAGAAAUAUUUUUCAGCUUGUAAUUCCCUGUUAACAGAAGCAAAACAUCUGUAAUUAACUGAACUCAAAUGUGCAGAAAAAUCAACUUGCACUCAUUACACAACUAGUGCGAACAGUGAAAAAUUUCCAAGGUUGUUUCAACAACCUUUAAUAACAGUCCAAAACACUAUUAUUUGAGUUCAAAAUUCUUCAAACAAGUUUAAUAUCCACACGCAGUUUCAGGUUUACAAAAUGUUGUAGAAAAAUACAAAUAAUGCUUUGAAAACUUGUAUUACAUCAACAACUUUUAUUUAAAUACAAAAUUCUAGAAUUCAAAUAAGCUGGCAGGUUCGCUAUUCAAUUGCUUCUCAAAACUCAAAACUUCAGCAACACUUUGAUCACUAAAUUCAGCAACAGUAGGCACAGAGAUUUUCAGCCCAGAAUGAUGACCUCAACUGUAGAAACAAACAAUUAGAAUCACAGCAAUAUUGAGUUAAAAUAACCACAAAGUACAGCUGAAUAGUGCGGGAUCUGCUUUUAAAAGAAAGCAGCUCAAAACUUGAAUUUCAAUAAUGUAUUGUUGGCAUAUAAACUGAAACAACACAGUAUGAGGUCAAGUUAUUCUAAGUGAAAAACCUUGGUGGGUCUAGACUGUGGACCCGAGCGGACAACUCGAGUCGAGGAGGGGGCAACGUACCGAGAACCAAAAGGCCAUCCGACUUUGUAACUUGUCCGACCUCUUUUUUAUUUCAGGGUAUGACACUAACAUAACAGGGAGUCUCAACCGGUAAGCACAUCCUUGGAAGUGAGAAAAGAAGGGUUUUGUAGCAGUUUAUAUGUACAGUUCAAAUAAUAUCAAAGCGGUAAAAGCAUCAUUUUGCAUAUUAAGCCAACAUGUAAAAUCAUAUAAAAAGCCAAAUACAACAAUUAUUCUAAGCUCGAAUUCUUGAACCCUGAACCAGAGAUUCUGGCGUCGUUCCCCAGCAGAGUCGCCAGAGCUGUCACACCUCUUUUUUGGCUACUACAACCCGGCGAAGGGCGUAGAUAAGGGAGUUUUUCCAAUUAAAGGACAAUCGAAACGGGAUUCAAUUACUUAAGAGGAUUUUAGAGUCGUCAUUUGGGAGAGUUAUGGUGUCACAAGUCGCCUGUUAGAACCCUGAAUCGAGGAAAAGAAUGACUUUGUUUACAGUCCGUGAUAAGUAAGGAAUUCAAUUAACCCGGGAGAAGGUAUUAGGUAUUCCCGGGUUCCGUGGUUCUAGCAUGGUCGCUCAACUGUCAUAUUUGGCUUAAAUUAUCUGANNNNNNNNNNNNNNNNNNNNNNNNNNNNNNNNNNNNNNNNNNNNNNNNNNNNNNNNNNNNNAUUAUCUGAUUUUAGAACAUGUUUUAACUUAUGUGCUUUUUAACUUUAAACCGCUUUUAUUAUUAUUUUAAAGAGAAUUGCAACGUCGUUAGAGCACGCCUCAAACCACGUCACAUAAAUGCACCCGUGGAUUUUGACACAUUCCAACUUCGUUGAGAUUUGGACUUGGGUCACAUAAAUGCGCACCCGUAUUUAGGAAAAUGAAUUAUAUAAGAAUGCGCCUAAAGCGACUAACGUGUUAUUAAUUUUGCGGGAGGCCAUGAAAAUUCACUAAAUGGCACACCUCGAUUCUAAUUUCAAAGAAUGUCCGAACUACUUUUGAGGUUCAUAGCAUAUGGAUUUUUGUUUAUGUAUGGCACAAUUCGAAUUUCCUAUAACAACUACCAAGAAGAAAGUCUGAAACGCAUGAAAAUUGACCCAGGGUAUUAGUCAUUCUAAGAUGCCCCGGAAAUGGAAUGGGUAACAGAACAUAACUUAAAUAAUAAAAAGAAGUGCAACCUUAAAUAGCUGUUGAAAUAAAGAUAAACAACAAAACGAGAAAACAUUAACUUUUGGGCUACCUCAGGAUUUAAUAUACACAAGAACGAACCAAAUUGCUGCUUCAAAUCCUUCCAUGACACACAUUAUAUAUAAGCAUAACCGACAUGCUCUAACUAAAGAUAAUUAGCUCUUCAAUACAUGGCUUUUCACUCAGAUAUUCAAGUAGUUCCCAACCAGUUUCAAACUAAAGAAAAUGCUGCUAAACCCAACAUGAUCAAACAAAUAACAACAUCUCUAAUUGAAUACAAAUAAAACAGUUCAAAAGCAACAAAUAGAAGCCGAAAAUGAGUCGGAAUAUCAUAACUGGACGAGCUUCAGUCAAGCAUGCCAAACAAUGAAAUUCAGUAAAAUUCACGAGAAAUCGGCAGCACAGGUUAGUACAUUAACUAGCUCACAAACAUCUUCUGUUAAUAAACAAGGAGGAACCUAAGUAUAUAUAAUUAUCCUAAGAACUCAACACGUUUACCAAUCCGAUGUUAAGAACUCACAAUAGAUCAAAGUUUCAUUAGAACUUCCACCUUAGUGAUAACCAAUAGACACGAUACUUAAUUUCAAGGAAAUUCAAGCAUUCAACACGCGACUUAGUCCAUUUCUUUCAUUCAAACACAUGGAAACUUAGGCGAGAUCACAAACUAUAUGACCCAAACUUUAGAAACCAGGCACCAAAUUAGUUCGACAUGGAACAUUAUCACAAACCAAUAGGAAUAGAUUGAUUGCAAUAUCAAUAAGCCAAAGAUGAACGGAUCUAAUCCGAAAACUUAACUCUAACCUGAGCGCUCCAGUUUUAAAUUUCUCCCAUACAAACACAUCAAACAGCAAGAUAGCAAAUCGGAUAACAAGAAUAGAUAGAUGAAUCACACAACACCAUAUAAUUGGACAUCAACUGAAACUGGAGCAUAUAAUCACCACAUAAGUGACGAAUUGAAACAGGGGAAAGGAAAUUUAACUACUGAAAUUUGCAGCGUGAUGUAGGAAAUAACUGUUACACAUUUCAGUGCAAUAGACCAUCCAACGAUAUUUAUAGCGUUUUGAAUCAAAAACACAUACCUGUCAGGAGAAUUUUCUUCAGUAUAACAAUGGAAAGAAUUAGCAAAUACACAACCCUUGAUACCAAGAUCCAACGAAAAAGAACAGCAAUGUCGAUGAGAAGAACUUUCAAUCGGAUAACCUCUACGAGCAGCAACAAAAUCAACCAGCAUCUCAGUUAGAAUUGACGGUCUCGAAUGAAAGACGACGAGCUAUCCGGUUUCCGGCAAAGAUCGACUUCGAGCACAGAUUCAAUGCACGAUUUCGAAGCUAAACAAACAUAAAACUUUUUGUGUGAGUUUCAGCUGGUACGAAGGAGAAAAUAAUUGAGGUGUCGAUGGCUAUUGUUCGACUGAUUUUCAGUUCCGUUUUGAGAUGAGAGAAGUGUGGUUUUCGAGCUGGUUUUUGGGGAAUUUUCGGGUUAGUUUCCGCCAGUUCCCGGUGAAGCUCAUCGGCAAUGGAAGCCGGACGUUUGAGAUCUGGAAACAGUUGGGAUUAGAGUGCUCUAGUGUGUGUUCUCUUCAGGAAAUUGAGAUGGGGCGUUGUUCGUGUUCAGCCCGAAGAGAGGGAGGGUCUGUCCAUUGCUGCGCAGCCCUCCCCAAUUUCCAGUGUCUUUGCUUGUGUAUAGGCGUGUGUAUAGCUGUGUAUUGUAGCGUGUUUUUUGUGAAGAAAACCCAAAGCUGUCUGCCCCCCUCUCCAGAAUUUUUCUUUUUGGCGUG